UUCUUGACCCCAUACUUUUCAAUGGUAUGGUGUCAUGCUUUGGUGUCAUUGAUUGUGAUGCACAGCUGUUCUUGACCCCAUUCCAAAGCAUUUUUAAAUAAUAUCUUCUUACUCUCAUUCUUUACAGUGGGUGGGAUUUUGGGAUAUCGUCAUUUAAAAUACAAAGGUUCAUACAAUACUGGUGAAGAACUGCGGACAAAAGAAGAGUUAUUGCUAAAUCAAAGUGUUUAAACUCAAGGGCAAACAAUCGGACGGCUCCUUUGCUUUAGCAUUAUUCCUGCACAUGGAUUCAUUGAAGUUUAAACUUUGUUGUAUUUUAUAAACUAGAUUUUGUAUUUAUUUAUAACUGCUACAAAAUGUUUUGCUUUUUAGAAAUAUAUUAG
rnacentral:lncRNA from 1 species